rnacentral:tRNA from 1 species
CUUCCAAUGGCUGAUAAAAGUGUUAAGUUGUAGCCUUAAUUAUGGAAAGGAUUUCCUUGGGAGA